AGGCCUUUCCUUUUGUUUUGAGUCUUUCGUUUGAGAUUAAAUUCCCCUUUUUGUACAUAUUUAUGUUUGAACAAAUAAUUCUGGACUGGCCGACCUAGAGGUCAAGAGAAACAGAGUUGGCCCUGGACCAAGGUAGCUGUUGCUCUCUCCCUGGGUACAUGUAUAUUCAACACCUGGUCACAUGAUUUCUCACAAAUGCACAUUCAUUCAGGUUACAGACCAGUUAGCUGGGUCGCUGAUCCCUAGACAUAAUGAGUCAGGUUACAGACCAGUUAGCUGGGUCGCAGAUCCCUAGACAUAACGAGUCAGGUUAUAGACCAGUUAGCUGGGUCGCAGAUCCCUAGACAUAACGAGUCAGGUUACAGACCAGUUAGCUGGGUCGCAGAUCCCUAGACAUAACGAGUCAGGUUAUAGACCAGUUAGCUGGGUCGCAGAUCCCUAGACAUAACGAGUCAGGUUAUAGACCAGUUAGCUGGGUCGCAGAUCCCUAGACAUAACGAGUCAGGUUAUAGACCAGUUAGCUGGGUCGCAGAUCCCUAGACAUAACGAGUCAGGUUAUAGACCAGUUAGCUGGGUCGCAGAUCCCUAGACAUAACGAGUCAGGUUAUAGACCAGUUAGCUGGGUCGCAGAUCCCUAGACAUAACGAGUCAGGUUAUAGACCAGUUAGCUGGGUCGCAGAUCCCUAGACAUAACGAGUCAGGUUAUAGACCAGUUAGCUGGGUCGCAGAUCCCUAGACAUAACGAGUCAGGUUAUAGACCAGUUAGCUGGGUCGCUGAUCCCUAGACAUAACGAGUCAGGUUAUAGACCAGUUAGCUGAUCCCUAGACAUAACGAGUCAGGUUAUAGACCAGUUAGCUGAUCCCUAGACAUAACGAGUCAGGUUAUAGACCAGUUAGCUGGGUCGCAGAUCCCUAGACAUAACGAGUCAGGUUAUAGACCAGUUAGCUGAUCCCUAGACAUAACGAGUCAGGUUAUAGACCAGUUAGCUGGGUCGCAGAUCCCUAGACAUAACGAGUCAGGUUAUAGACCAGUUAGCUGGGUCGCAGAUCCCUAGACAUAACGAGUCAGGUUAUAGACCAGUUAGCUGGGUCGCUGAUCCCUAGACAUAACGAGUCAGGUUACAGACCAGUUAGCUGGGUCGCAGAUCCCUAGACAUAACGAGUCAGGUUAUAGACCAGUUAGCUGGGUCGCAGAUCCCUAGACAUAACGAGUCAGGUUACAGACCAGUUAGCUGGGUCGCAGAUCCCACGUGUAACCACGCCAGCCCAGGACCUCCAGAUCAGGCUUCUUCACCUAUGGGAUGGUCUGAGACCAGCGACCUAGACAGCUGAUGAAACUGGAGAGUAUAUGUGGAUGUAAUAAACACAAAAUAUUUUGUGUGGAAAAACUUAUUCCGAUUGGCUGGGCCUGGAUCCCCAGUGGGUGGGCCUAGCCCCCAAGUGGGUAGGGGCCACCCAUGGCUGCCCUGUCAAAUCCAUAGAUUAGGGCCUAAUUUAUUUAUUUCAAUUGACUGAUUUGCUUACAUGAAACUGUAACUCACUGAAAUCGUUGAUAUAUUGUUGCACGUCGCGUUUAUAUAUUUUUGUUCAGUAUAGAUUGCUUAUGAAUAAUCACCAUUAAUAAAUGGAACAAUGAUUAUGUUAUUCAAUGUACUGACUCCAAAGUGUGGCACGCAGGCCACAGAGCCUAUUUCAAUGCAUACAUGCUCUUAUUAUGCACAACAAAAAUAUAUACUUUUUUUUACAUAGGCCUUAACAAAAGAUCAGUAGGCCUGUGCUAGUAAUUGUGUCUUGACGUCCCAUUGCUGGUGAGCCUGCAAAGUAAACAGUUCAUAUUUUUGAUCACCAACAUUUUUUGGAGCCGGACAUUUAUUAUGGCAAUCCUCUCUCCGUACAAUUUCACUGCACCCAAUCCUAUAGCUGUACAACAAAUCAGCAAUCUGUUCUCUGGCGCACUGGACCUUUGUUGAUUGACAGCUUGCUGGACCAAUCAGAGGUCAGAGUGUGCAUUUCAUAAGCCAAUCUGUUGCCCUUUUUACUCUAAGGGCAAUGCUGUGGCUACUGCCUCUGGCUGCAUGGAGAGUUAUCCACAGAGACUGUGCCACAAGUCCAGAGUCUUGACGCUCCGAAGUCAAGUCUCAAAUAAUGACAUUUUCUAUCAAAUCGAGUCUCAAGACACAUCUGUGAGACAAGGAGACUCACCCAAUGGUCCCGGUAGGGGACAGGGAUAAGGACA